GAGUGGCGAACGGGUGAGUAUAUAUCGGAACGUGCCCAGUCGUGGGGGAUACGUAGAGAAAUUACGCUAAUACCGCAUACGAUCUAAGGAUGAAAGCGGGGGCUUCGCAAGAACCUCGCGCGAUUGGAGCGGCUGAUAUCAGAUUAAGUUGUUGGUGAGGUAAAAGCUCACCAAGCCGACGAUCUGUACCUGGUUGGAAAGAACGACCAGCCACACUGGGACUGAGACACGGCCCAGACUCCUACGGGAGGCAGCAGUGGGGAAUUUUGGACAAUGGGCGAAAGCCUGAUCCAGCAAUGCCGCGUGUGGGAAGAAGGCCUUCGGGUUGUAAACCACUUUUGUACGGAACGAAACGGUCUGCUUUAAUACAGCGGGCUAAUGACGGUACCGUAAGAAUAAGCACCGGCUAACUACGUGCCAGCAGCCGCGGUAAUACGUAGGGUGCGAGCGUUAAUCGGAAUUACUGGGCGUAAAGCGUGCGCAGGCGGUUAUAUAAGACAGUUGUGAAAUCCCCGGGCUCAACCUGGGAAUUGCAUCUGUGACUGUAUAGCUAGAGUACGG
rnacentral:rRNA from 1 species